UGGCUCAGUUGGUAGAGCAUGGUGUUUGCAACGCCAGGGUUGUGGGUUCGAUUCCUGAC
rnacentral:tRNA from 1 species